rnacentral:rRNA from 1 species
CCUACGGGGGACAGCAGUGAGGAAUAUUGGUCAAUGGACGAGAGUCUGAACCAGCCAAGUAGCGUGAAGGAUGACUGCCCUAUGGGUUGUAAACUUCUUUUAUAUGGGAAUAAAAUGUUCCACGUGUGGGAUUUUGUAUGUACCAUAUGAAUAAGGAUCGGCUAACUCCGUGCCAGCAGCCGCGGUAAUACGGAGGAUCCGAGCGUUAUCCGGAAUGACUGGGCGUAAAGGGUGCGUAGGUGGUUUGACAAGUUGGUAGCGUAACUCCGGAGCUCAACUUCGGAACUACUACCAAAACUGUUGGACUCGAGUGCAGGAGGGGCAACUGGAAUUUCUAGUGUAGCGGUGGAAUGCGUAGAUAUUAGGAAGAACACCGGUGGCGAAGGCGAGUUGCUGGACUGUAACUGACACUGAGGCACGAAAGCGUGGGGAGCAAACAGGAUUAGAUACCCCAGUAGUC